UUUUAGUACCAUUUGUCUUAAUAGUCGGUUAGUAUUGGAAAGUUUCCUCAGACUCGAGUAGUGUACAGUGUACACCAUAGGGGAACCACUACCAGCAGUUUCUCUAUAAAUGUUCACCAGUAACAAACUUAAGCCUCACCAAACCACUCUACUCCCUACCUCUUACCAACUUCUCACUCUCCCUCGAACCCCUUUAGCUACUGAUAUAUAAGAUGUCGGUCACAACAAAGAAAUGUAAUUUCUGCCACUCAGAAUUGAGAGUGUCCGAUGAGGCACAAGUGGUAGAAUGUCUAGUUUGUGUUGCAUCAACGGCUAUGGCUGCAGCUGUUCCAACCAAAAUGACAAGUAUUCAAAAGGAGCUCCUAGCAACAAAAUUACAGGGGUCAUGCCUAACAUCCAGAAUCACCAGCAACAACCAUUUUCUGCAGCCCCAACUCAGGGACAAGCACAACUGCAUGUUUUACUAGGAGGUACAAAAUAACCAGGGUCACUUCAUUUUGUGGAUACUAAUAGUCUAUUUCAACAGACUCCGCAAGCAUCAACACCGGGUUAUUCACCUCCUCAGGCAAAGACUACUAGCUUCUUGCAACUACCACCUCAAGUGUCACAGUCAUCACAAGUGUCGUUUCUUACGUUGAAGACAAAUCACACAAGUUUUCAACAGCUAUUCCAAAAAUCAUUGUCGCUGCAGAUUUCACUUUCACCUGUGAAACUAAGCCCACAUUCCAGUUAUCAUUACAAACAUCAUCACCGCCCAUUCCUGAAAGAAUUAUCAACAAUUUCUUUCAGCUCCAGCUCCAGCUGCAUUUAGGUGCUUCUGGGAUAUGUUGGAACCGGAAAAUCAAGCCUGGUUAUGCCGUUUGUAAAAGGGCAAUUCAUUGAAUUUCAGGAAUCAAGAAUAGGCGCUGCAUUUUUCUUACAAACAGUGGCUGUUAAUGAGGCAACUGUAAAAUUUGAAAUAUGGGAUACUGCCGGUCAAGAGAGAUAUCAUAGCUUAGCUCCAAUGUACUAUGGCGGAGCUGCAGCUGCAAUUGUCGUGUAUGAUUUAACAAACUAGCUUCUUCAGUCUUCACCGCCCUUUCAACCUCUCUUCUGAAAAUGAUGCUGCAGAAGUCUUCUCUGACAAAUGGAUGCUGCUAAGUGGUUAUUUUUCACUUGCAUCUGCGAAGCUCUUCACGUCGCUUCUGAUUGUUAGUAUGGAGAAUUUUGGGUUUGGGUUGGAAUUGGUUUCUUGGAGAAAAGAUUCGGCCUUUUAUGUUAUAAUUGAGGAUGAGGGAAAAGGGAAGAAUGCUUGUUAGCUUUUCGAUGACUUUGCCCAGAGGGUUUGAUUUGCAAAAGAAGGUAAGGGAUUGGGUUACUGAGCGGCAAUUUGCCGUAUAUUUCGCCCUAUGAGGAUGCUUUAUAUUUGGGCCAUGAUACUGAUCAUGCGGAGAAAUAAACUGUGGCAGUUCUGCAUGAGUUGAUUCAUCUUUUUGAGUCGAAGAAGACAGAGAUAGAUAAUGUAUGUUUUUUGGGGGAUUAUUUGGGAUUUGGGAAUAGAUUUAAGACGGCUUUGAUGCAUCAUCCUGGGGUUUUUUGCACAAUCUUCACUUGUUUUGGAAGAGUAGGUUGUUUAACAUGCUACUCUUUGGGGAGGCUCUCGGAGAUCUGUGUAAUCGCAAUAUUAGAACUAAUUAAGGCUUAUUGAGAGAGUUGGUUAUCAAACAGUUUUGAAUAUUAUUUAAAGGCAUAAUAGUAUCUUCUUGACAAAUGUAUCUAAUGUGUGUUCAGUGGAUAUGUGGCUGAAAUGAGGUAUAUAAACACGCAGGCCUGCAUCCCCUUCAACGGUAUUAGUCAAAAUACAUGGGAGCGGCUGCAAGGAUCACUUGAUGUUCCUCAAUUCAGGUGAUGGCACUGCAGAAACUGUGUUCGUGAAGUUUUCCCUCUCCCAGUACUGCUGCUGAGCAAAUAUUGACUGCAGAGCAGACGACUUCUUUGCUUUUGUGUAUACCUGGAUGGAAGAAGAGUCUCCACUUGAGGUCAGAGUUGCCAGAGGUAGAUGAACUUAGUUGUAUCCUGUUUUAUAUAUUUCGAUAUCCAUAUUCAGUUAAUUUUCUCCUGAUAUUAUUUGCAUCUAACAACCCUACCGCAGUGUCUUAUCUUAAUUGUUAUUUAUCUGAAACACAAGUUAAUGUAGUCCAUAUUUUGCUUUCCGGUGUAGUUUCAGAUAGCUGCAAAAUAUAACAGAAAAUUAAAUUCAUUGGAUAUUCUAGGUUUUAAGAACUCUUCCUCGAUGUUUUCACUCAUUUGUAGUCAAAAUUUAACAUCUGUCCAAUUACAAUUUAUACCAGCUUCUUGUUUGAAGCUAUUGUACAAGAGGGUGCUUUCUGAAGCUAUUGUACGAGAGGGUGACAGCUUUGAUUGACGUGAUUGACUUGGUGGACAGUGAAGACAAAAGCGAGACAAAAUAAGCCCAUUCACCGCAAAAACUUAUGAAGUUGGAAGAUAAGGCAUCAACUAGAAGAGGUGUCACAACUCAAUAACUCAUACUCAACAAACAGCAAAAAUGGCUUCUCUACAUAUAUAUAUAUAUAUAUAUAUAUAUAUAUAUAUAUAUAUAUAUAUAUAUAUAUAUAUAUAUAUAUAUAUAUAUAUAUAUAUAUAUAGGCCAACAUUCCAGAGAGGGACUCCUUAUAUGGAGUUACAUAGUGCGCCACUAUAAAUCAUCAAUUUUAUUAUAAAUUCUGUUAUAGAAUACAUAUAAAACGUGAUUCCAAUAUAGAAUACUAUAAAAUAAAUCUAUUUUAAGUAAUUUAACACUUAAAAUUUGAUUAAAAAAAUAUAUUUUCGAAACUGAUUCUACAACAGAAUAAUUCCGGAUGAUUAUUAUUCUGUUAUAGAAUCAUGUUGAGAUAUUGCAUAAUUUUAGAUGAUCUUUGGAAUAAAAAAAUUGUAUAACUUCGUUUUCGGUUUAAUAAUCAAAAUUUGCAAUUAUAUUUCAUAAAAAAUAUAAUAGAAUAUAUAUUAGGUAUAUAUUUAUAAUGGUGUGCUACCUAACUCCAUAUAAGAGGUAUGCUAUGGAGUGCUACCCUAUAUAUAUAUAUAUAUAUAUAUAUAUAUAUAUAUAUAUUUAUUAAUGAAGCUCUUACUUUGUUUAAACUCUUCACUUUGCUCUUAUGCUAAUAACUUAUAUCGAAAAUCAAUUCCAUGUAAAAAGGAUGAAGGGGUGCCACGACAAGAAUGAAAAUUGAGUGUACAUGAAUAGCUUUGAGAUGUCAGUGUGUUAUGACUUUGUAUAAUUGCUACACCCCUUCCUUGUCUGACGCCAAUCAACCUACAUCUCGAUUCACCUCUAGAUAAUUGAUCAUCAUGUCCCAGCCAGUGCUUUAAAUGCUCUAUGCGGAUAAGGUGCUUUUUUUAAAACUCGAGCCUCUGUUCGACUACAGCCGCCUUCAACCUCUUGAUCUUGUUUCUUUAGACGGUUCGUUUCUAAUUUUUCAUAUACAUGUGUGUGAUUCUGCGUGUGUACAUAUGUAAUGUUUGAAAUGGAAUCGAAUUGAAUUUCUAGAUGACGAUGAGUGCGUUCAAAUUCCUAUUAAAACACAGAAGGUAACGGCUGGAGACAAGUUGUCGGAUGUAAGUUCUAUUGUUUCUCGGUGUAGCUUAAUGUAGUUCUUAUGUUACCAUAGCCUAGCUUAAAUUUUGUUCAUUUGAUUGAUUUGUAUACUUCUUUAAUGUGUGUGCUCUUAUUUAUUUUCUGUGAAUUAGGCUGCUAAUCUAGCUGGUAAAGCAGUUACAAAAAUUGACGAGGAGGAUUGGUUGCUGUCUCUGGUGAAAAUCCCAAUCGAUACUCAAAAGUGAGAAGAGGAUUCUAUCAUUAAAGUUAUUAGUCUACUGCAACAUAUGUGAUGGCUGAUGGCCCUGUAAGAGCCUGCAAGCAAGGCGAGAGAGUGGAAGGAUUGCACUAUCCAGCUACUAACGAUUCUGCUGUCACAGAAGCACAUACACAACAUAUAUUGCAGAGAUAUCAUCACCACCUGAUCAAGAUGAAGUUAAUGAUUACUCGUGACAACCACAGAAGACACAAACAUCUCAAGGGUCACCUCGUCCAUUAUAUACCAGCAUUUCACACCCGCAGCCUCAUCGGUAGCUUCAGAACCACCUGAACAGGCGAGCAGAAUAUCCAAUAUGGGACAAAUCAAGGUACAAGUGGGAAAUUUGCAACCACCAACAGCCAAUCUGCUGAUAGUCAAAAUUCAAGGAACACACAAGCUUUCAGAUCAACUAAUCAGUGGCUGAUGCAGAUGAUGAUCCUCACUAUACAAAAAGACGUUUAUAGGAAUUUCGCGAGCAACUACAAAUUUGAAGCACGAGAGAGAAUUAUACCAUGAAUGAAGGUAAGCCAAAAUUUCUUUUCACAGGGGAAACAGAUUUACUUAAUCGAUUAUCUUAUCCUGUGCAUAUGUGAGCGAAUGCUGUACAUCUUAUCUUGCUCAUUACCAAGUUCUGUUAAGGGAUUCAAGUGUGAGAAUGAAUACUUAUUCUGACCACUCUGAUAUAACUAACCAAGAAUAUGGAAGUGCAUAUUAACAGAGGAGUGAGGGAGUGAAACUGACUACUGUAUUUACUUCUGGAGAGAACUAAUUAUCAAAAUAUUUAAAUCAGUAAAUCUAUGUUUUUGUUGCCAUAUAUACUUCUUGAAACUUUUUCUUCGAGUUUGAUACAAUAAUCUUAGUAGUAAAGUUCAUUUUUUCCUUAACAUAAUGGGUCAACAAAUUAUUAACACUCAUCAAGUUAAUCUUAGUAGAAAUCAAUAUCAAUAUACUUAUAUAAAGGAGAAGCAUGGAUCGUUUAGGUGGCGCCUCUCAGAGAGUUCUGUUUUAUUUUUUUAAUUUUCUGGAAUUUUUGGAUUAAAACAUAUCAAAAAUAAAAACUGUUUUUUUUAGUUUCGAAUAUAUAGGAAGAAAGUUUCAGAACUAUUUUUUUUUUCAAAAUAUCAAAAUCUUAGAAUUUGAAACUGUCAUCAUAUUUGAAGAAAGUUUUAGAACUACUUUUUUAAAAAAAAUAUCAAAAUCAAAUAAGAAUUUAAAAUUAUCAUCAUAUUUUUGGAAAAGGUGUAUAUAAAAAUAGAAAGUAUUUUUGAUAAAUCGGUUUUUUCUCAAAUCAACCCCUAUAAAUUGAGGUCAGAUAUCAUAAAAUUUAACACGCAUAAUUUUUUGUUGAGUUUAUUUGUCUUCUCUAUCUAAUAUAAUAAUGAGUUACAGAGUUACACUAUACUAGAUGCUUUUAAUAGCGAUAGAGAUGAUUGGCUGAUAAAAGUAAGAGUUUGUCGAAUAUGGGAGUCGACGAAUCCAAACACGAGAGAACAAUACAGUCUUGACAUGAUAUUGAUGGAUGAAAAAGUCAAUAAAUUAACUGUCAGUAAUAUAUACUUUUGUUCCCUAUUUUUUUUAUAAUAUUUGUUUUAUUAAUCAGACAUGUUUGUUGUUGUUAAUUUUUAUAUGAUUUACUUUGUAUAGAGGAAAAAUUUUAUUCAUGCAACACUUCCACAAUAUCUGUUUGCUCGGUUCAAGCACCUUCUAAGUGAACACUGUUACGGUAUUAAAAAAAUAAAAAUUGUUGCAAGCAAGGAGUUAUAGACCGCUUGCAUCCCAAUGUCUUUUAAACUUUAAAACACCCAUGUUCUUGCAAGAUUUACUGAUCAAUCGAUGUAUAUAGCUAGAUGUCAUCAAUCAGUUUUGUUAAAAAGCCAUAUGUUUUUUAUAUGCAGAGAUGAUGUACAUGUCUAAAAAGUAGUGUUGGAAAAGUUAAUACUAAUGUCAAUGAAGAACAUGAUUACUUGAAAAAAGAUCAUAAGUAAAGUAAAGAUUUGUUGUGCUUUAUAUCGUUAAUUAUAUGUAGAAAUUUAUUUUCAUUUUUUCACUCAUCAAAUUAAUAUUAAUAUUGCAUCGAGAUGCUUAUAAUAUAAAAUUUAUUUAGUCUACAACUAUUAAUUUUGAAUUAAUAAUAUAAUUUUUAUAAGUCGCCGUAAAUUUAUUUUAUUCUAUAAAUAUUAAUUUUGUAUCGUUAAUAUAAUUUUUAUAGGCCGCCGCAACGCGCGGCUUUUCAACUAGUUAUUUACAAUGUAAGCUAGUGCUUGCUUAUAUUAAUUAUAUUCCAAGUAUUUUGCUAACAGUAUAGUAUGAUUCCAAGUAUUGUGCUAACAAUAACAUUAUACUAUGAUCAUCUUUUGUAGGACAUUAGACUUCGUUCACUGGAGAACUUUGAUGUUUACACAAGCCUUAUAUCUUGACAAGAUAGACACGCAGUGUUUCAAAAUGUAACAUGUAAUCAGAACAGACGUAUGUUGCAUGCUCAAUAACAAAUAAUCAUCGCAUGUUAAGCCCAAGAUUAGUCUAUUUGACAUAAGAACUGAUAAUGAGUAAAUUAUUCGCCUAAAUUUCGUUCAUUUACCUCAAAUACCUAAGGGCCUCAAGGGCCCUGUAUUAAGUGUGGAAUGUUUUGUAAUCAGAUCAAAGGCUCUGCUAAUUGCAUUGUGCUUGUAGGUUGUAAUUAACGUAAUAUAUCAAAGAGUUGAACCUGAUAUAAACAGAAGACCAAUAAGUAGGGAUGGCAGUUUUAUCCGACCCGGUGGAUACCCGACGCGUACCGACCCGAUUGGGUCUACCCGAACCCGAUUUUUUUGGAUCUGGAUCCGGAUCUGGAUCUUAUUUUUAGACCCGAAAGAGUUUGGAUCUGGAUCUGGAUCUCAGGUAUUCCGAACCGAGACCCGACCCGAAACCCGAAACCCGAUUAAAACCCGAUCCGAACCCGAGACCCGAUAAAAACUCGAUACAAAAUAUUAUAUAUAUAUAUAUAUAUAUUAUGUGUUUAAUGUAAAGUAUAUAUAUUAAAAUAUUGUGAAUUAUUAGGUAUGAAUAUUAACAUUUUACUUAAUUUUAUAUGCUCAAUACAUAAUUUAUAUUUAUUUCAUCAAUAUUUUUCUCAGUUAUUGUGCAUUAAAAAAUCUAAAUAUAAUAAAAUAUAAAUGAUAAAUGAUAAGUUAAAUGAUUGUAUACAAUUAAGUUAACAUGUUUCACGUGUUUAAUGUAUUAGACGAAACUUGUAAAACCCUUUUUUAUGUUCCUAAAUUUAAAAAAAAAAUCAAUCAUCACAUUUUUUAUAGCUAUAUAAUUUUUAUUUUUUAUUUAAUUUUAUUUUUUAAAUACCCGAAUGAGACCCGAACCCGAACCGAAACCCGAAAAAACCCGACGGAUCGGAUCCGGAUCUUCAUUUUCCAGACCCGGACCCGAACCCGAACCGACCCGAAAUAUAAUGGAUCGGGUCUGGAUCUUAAGAAACCCGACCCGACCCGACCCGUUGCCAUCCCUACCAAUAAGUAUUGAGAGGAAUUGUACUUUUGCAAGGACCACCAUAGAGAACAAGAAUACACUUAUAAAACACAUAUUAUUCGUCGAAUGUUAAUCUAUCAUGCAUCCCGUAGAAAAUUGUGUUGAAUAAAAAAAACCCUAAAAUGAAUGAUAUGACACUGUAUCCUCUCAUACGUAAGAAAAAUUUAGGUUUAAGACCAUCUGGCGGAAAUUGCAAAUAUAGUGAAUACAAAUCACCUUAAUCCAAAACAACAUGCCAACAAGAUCCAUACGUUUCGUAUUUCAUCCCCAUCAUCAAAGUAUAAAUGAACCGGAAGCCGGGUUACGGUGCCCAACUGCGCGCUAACCUAGAACCCACAAAGGGCGUUGGUCGAUUAAGACAGCAGGAUGGUGGUCAUGGAAGUCAAAAUCCGCCAAGGAGUGUGUAACAACUCACUUGCCGAAUCAACUAGCCCCGAAAAUGGAUGGCGCUUAAGCGUGCGACCUAUACCCGGCCGUCGGGGCAAGUUCCAGGCCCCGAUGAGUACACUAUUAAACAAUGCAUGUCCACAUUUUGGCAGUGAGGAAAGAUCUUAUUGGGAAGUUGCAUUUUACCAAUAGAUAAAAACGGUAACAGAACUCACCUACAUAGGUGCAAGCACUUCAAAUAUCCACCGCUGAGGGUAUACUUAAUACUAGAUAAAUAAGGCAUCAAACCAUGGCAGGUUCAGUCAUAUUAUUCGGAUACCUUAGUACGGAUAUUAUAAUGCAGACUACAGCUAGAGGAUUUAUACUCAGGGGCAAAAGAAAAUAGCUGUUAUUACUCUUAAAGAUUAUGUUCAAAAGUUAAUAUAAGCACUCCUUAAAGGAAGCACUCAUACCACAUUUAAAAUCACAAACUUUUGAAUAUAAAGUUUGUCACACAUGGGUGCCUCCGAAAACAGGCUACGUAAAAAUCAAUGUUCUUUGUGUCAACUCCUAGCAACCAUAUUACAGAAAGGAAACCAAAACGGAGUUGGGGUGGCAGGGACGCAUUAAAAUGGAGGUUCCGGUUUCAAGCUCUCUAUUUACAUGAAAAGCAUGAUUUCCGCUACACUGACUCUUUUGACCAACAUUAAGAACUGGGGCAAGGCUGAUGAAGAUCUUUAGACUUAGGGUUCAGGUUCUGUAUUUAAUUUUGUAUUUUCAGCUCUUUUAAGAUAAGUUGCAAGCAGACAAGAAAUGGUCAGCUGGAAAUAUAUGUACCAGCCUUGCAAUUUUCCUUAAUUAGACAAGGGGUUUACUAAAACAAAGUUGGGAGAAAUGUUGUACGGUUACAGGAAGAAAGAGACUAAGAGGUUAGUAAUUAUCAUCCAUCUCAACAGGAAGGAUGAUAAUUGUUGGAAACCAACUUCCACUCCGGGCACAUAGAAGAUCUGAUGGUAGAGGGUGGAACUUCAGUUGGAAUGAGGAUUCCCUUCUUCGACAACUAAAAGAUGGCCUUGCACAAGAUGUGGAAGUUAUCUAUGUUGGGUGUCUUGGAGAAGAGAUUGAUCCAAGUGAGCAAGAAGAUGUUGCCCGAACUUCGCUUGAAACGUUCAAAUGUGUGCCAGCUUUUGUGCCUCCUGACCUUCUUAGUAAAAGGGUUUAUAUCAAACAGGCCACUCGUUAGGUUAAAAUAUCUCACUUGAUCCACACAUCUCAACGGGGCUCAUUUAAGCCACUAUAAACCAAAUACAUAUCAUUUUACCCACAUACUAUUCAUACCUUUUUACUUAAUCAUUUAUAAAAAAUUAACCGUUUGAUUUUUUACUACGAAACCACUUCGAGUACUUUCAUAAUUAUCUCUAGUAUUUAUCAAAAUAAUUUGAGAAAUUAUAAAGCAACAUAACAAGGGUGAUCAAAUAAAUAUAUAUUUAGAGCUACAUAUAUUUUUAAUUACAUAGUUAUGUUGCUUUAAAAAUUCUCAAAUUAUUUUUAUAAAUACUAGAGACAAUUAUGAAAGUACUCGAAGUGGUUUCGUUGUAAAAAACCAAACGGUUAAUUUUUGACAAAUGAUUAAGUAAAGAGGUAUGAAUAGUGAUGUGGGUAAAAUGAUAUGUAUUUGGUUUAUAGUGGCUUAAAUGAGUCCCUGUUGAGAUGUGUGGGUCAAGUGAGAUAUUUUGACGUAACGAGUGCCAGUUUGAUAUAAAACCCUUUUAGGUAAAUACUAUCAUGGGUUCUGUAAACAGCAACUCUGGCCCCUGUUCCACUACAUGCUUCCUCUCCCCCCCUGAUCUUGGUGGCCUGUUCGAUAGGUCUCUGUGGCAAGCUUAUGUUUCGGUAUGUGAGCAUGACAAGUGAGACCGAUAUGUGAGCACCCAUGAUGUUCCAUACUGGACUCACAGUUUUUUGCAAGAUCUUGAAAGGGCAUGUAGGGAUCAUGUGAGGAGAAGGUGCUGGGUUAUAGGUUUUGGUUUAGGAUUCCGCGUAAUUGCUUUGGAUCCAAAUUUUAGGAAGCUCUCAGUUGACCAUAUUGUGUCUGCUUAUAAGAGAACGAAAAAUUGCGCAGUUCUUUUGAACUAUAAUGGUACAAUGAUGAUGCAACGCUCAAUCUGUGAAAGUCCUAAUUGUUGAAGCUGUUGGAAUGUUAAACAACUUAUGCAGGGAUCCCAAGAAUGUUGUGUUCAUUGUUAGUGGAAAGGUUAAGAAAACUUUAGCUGAAUGGUUCACUUCUUGUGGAAAAUUAGGACUCGCAGGUCGCAGCAGAGCAUGGUUAUUUUUUGAGGCCAAAUGCAGAUGCAGAAUGGGAAACCUGUGUUACUCUACCUGAUUUUUACUGGAAACAGAUUGCUGAGCCAGUAAUGAAAUUGUACACAGAAACUACUGAUGGUUUUACCAUUGAGGCCAAAGAGAGUGGACUUGUUUGGAAUUACCAGUUUGCAGAUCCAGAUUUGGGGUCAUGUCAGGCUACGGAGCUUUUAGAUCACUUGGAGAGUGUUCCAGCAAUUGAACCUGUUUCUGUUAAGAGUGGUCUAAACAUUAUGGAAGUUAUACCUCAGGUGUCAGUAAUGUAUUCACUGUUCUUUUUCUCAUAUGUUGGUCACAUAUGCAAUGGAUGUAAUGAGACUUUAGACGAUAUCAAUUCUAAAGGUUAAUCAAUAAUAUAUGGUCAAGGCUCUACGAUGCA